rnacentral:rRNA from 1 species
GACGAACGCUGGCGGCGUGCUUAACACAUGCAAGUCGAACGGAGAACCUCUGCGGUGGGGAUCAGUGCGGAACGGGCGAGUAACACGUGGGCAACCGGCCCCCGGCCCUGUGAUAACGCCAAGAAAUUGGGGCUAAGACCAGAAGUUCACAGCAUCUCGCGAGGGGGGUGGUGAAAAGGGUUUCCGGCUGGGGGUGGGCCCGCGGCCAAGCAGCUGGUUGGGGGGGGCGGGGCGUACCAAGGCGAGGACGGGUAGGCGGCCUGGGAGGGGGACCGUCCACCAGGGGACUGCGGCACGCCCCAGUCUCCUACGGGAGGCAGCGGUGGGGAAUAUUGCGCAAUGGGCCGAAGCCUGACGCAGCGACGCCGCGUGCGGGAUGACGGCCUUCGGGUUGUAAACCUCUUUCAGCGGGGACGAAGCGGAAGUGACGGUACCUGCAGAAGAAGCACCGGCCAACUACGUG